AGAGGUAUAGCUCAGUGGUAGAGCAUGAGCUGAGCAUGAGCAGGGUCCUGGGUUCAAUCCCCAGUACCUCUG
rnacentral:tRNA from 1 species